rnacentral:rRNA from 1 species
AGGGCGCACGGUGGAUGCCUUGGCACCAGGAACCGAAGAAGGACGUAGGAAUCUGCGAUAAGCCUCGGGGAGUCGAUAACCAGACUGUGAUCCGAGGAUUUCCGAAUGGGGAAACCCGGCUGGAGGCAAGUCCAGUCACCCCUGUCUGAACACAUAGGACAGGUGGAGGGAACGUGGGGAAGUGAAACAUCUCAGUACCCACAGGAAGAGAAAGCAACCGCGAUUCCGUGAGUAGUGGCGAGCGAAAGCGGAACAGGCUAAACCGAUCAUGUGUGAUAGCUGUCAGGCGUUGCAUGGUCGGGGUCGUGGGACUAUUUGGUUGGUUCUGACAGACCGACGAGGAGUCAAAAAUUUCGCGUUAUAGUCGAAGGGCAUUGAAAGGCCCGGCACAGAGGGUGCGACCCCCGUAGACGAAAUGACGCGAACUCCUUUGAGUAGUAUCCCAAGUAGCACGGGGCCCGAGAAAUCCCGUGUGAAUCUGGCGGGACCACCCGCUAAGCCUAAAUAUUCCCUGGUGACCGAUAGCGGACAAGUACCGUGAGGGAAAGGUGAAAAGUACCCCGGGAGGGGAGUGAAAUAGAUCCUGAAACCGUGUGCCUACAAUCCGUUGGAGCCUCCUUGUGGGGUGACAGCGUGCCUUUUGAAGAAUGAGCCUGCGAGUUAGUGCUCAGUGGCGAGGUUAACCCGUGUGGGGAAGCCGUAGCGAAAGCGAGUCCGAANNCCGAACCCACUUAGGUUGAAAACUGAGGGGAUGAGCUGUGGGUAGGGGUGAAAGGCCAAUCAAACUCCGUGAUAGCUGGUUCUCCCCGAAAUGCAUUUAGGUGCAGCGUCACGUGUUUCUUGCCGGAGGUAGAGCUACUGGAUAGCCAAUGGGCCCUACCAGGUUACUGACGUUAGCCAAACUCCGAAUGCCGGUAAGUGAGAGCGUGGCAGUGAGACUGCGGGGGAUAAGCUCCGUAGUCGAGAGGGAAACAGCCCAGACCACCAUCUAAGGUCCCUAAGCGUGUGCUAAGUGGGAAAGGAUGUGGAGUUGCAUUGACAACCAGGAGGUUGGCUUAGAAGCAGCCACCCUUUAAAGAGUGCGUAAUAGCUCACUGGUCAAGUGAUUCCGCGCCGACAAUGUAGCGGGGCUCAAGCACACCACCGAAGCUGUGGCAUUGACACNNGAGAAACCCGUCCGCCGAAUAACCAAGGGUUCCAGGGUCAAGCUAAUCUGCCCUGGGUAAGUCGGGACCUAAGGCGAGGCCGACAGGCGUAGUCGAUGGACAUCCGGUUGAUAUUCCGGAACCGGCGAAGAACCGCCCAUACCGAACCUUGUGAUGCUAAACGCCUGAAGUUGGUGGACGUCUUCGGACUGAUAUCAACGGAGCGCGUGACCCAAUCUGGUAGUAGGUAAGCAAUGGAGAGACGCAGGAAGGUAGCCUCCGCGUGGCGAUGGUAGUCCACGUCCAAGGGUGUAGGGCGAGGUGUAGGCAAAUCCGCACCUCACAUAGCCUGAGACCUGAUAGUGACCGCGAAUGCGGGAAGCAGGGUGAUCCUAUGCUGCCAAGAAAAUCUUCUAGCGAGGUUCGAGCCGCCCGUACCCCAAACCGACUCAGGUGGUUAGGUAGAGAAUACCAAGGCGAUCGAGUGAAUCGUGGUUAAGGAACUCGGCAAAAUACCCCCGUAACUUCGGGAGAAGGGGGGCCCAGAGGGUGAAGGGAUUUACUCCCUAGCCUGAACGGCCGCAGAGACCAGGGAGAAGCGACUGUUUACUAAAAACACAGGUCCGUGCCAAGUCGCAAGACGAUGUAUACGGACUGACGCCUGCCCGGUGCUGGAACGUUAAGGGGACCGGUUAGCCUCACGGCGAAGCUGAGAACUUAAGCGCCAGUAAACGGCGGUGGUAACUAUAACCAUCCUAAGGUAGCGAAAUUCCUUGUCGGGUAAGUUCCGACCUGCACGAAUGGCGUAACGACUUCUCCACUGUCUCAACCACGAACUCGGCGAAAUUGCACUACGAGUAAAGAUGCUCGUUACGCGCAGCAGGACGGAAAGACCCCGGGACCUUUACUACAGCUUGGUAUUGGUGUUUGGGACGGCUUGUGUAGGAUAGGUGGGAGACUUUGAAGCGGGCACGCCAGUGUCCGUGGAGUCAACGUUGAAAUACCACUCUGGUCGUUCUGGAUAUCUAACCUCGGUCCGUGAUCCGGAUCAGGGACAGUGCCUGGUGGGUAGUUUAACUGGGGCGGUUGCCUCCUAAAAGGUAACGGAGGCGCCCAAAGGUUCCCUCAGCCUGGUUGGCAAUCAGGUUUUGAGUGUAAGUGCACAAGGGAGCUUGACUGUGAGACAGACAUGUCGAGCAGGGACGAAAGUCGGGACUAGUGAUCCGGCGGUGGCUUGUGGAAGCGCCGUCGCUCAACGGAUAAAAGGUACCCCGGGGAUAACAGGCUGAUCUUGCCCAAGAGUCCAUAUCGACGGCAUGGUUUGGCACCUCGAU